GACGAACGCUGGCGGCGUGCUUAACACAUGCAAGUCGAACGCUGAAGCACCAGCUUGCUGGUGUGGAUGAGUGGCGAACGGGUGAGUAAUACGUGAGUAACCUGCCCUUGACUCUGGGAUAAGCCCGGGAAACUGGGUCUAAUACUGGAUGCUACAUGUCACCGCAUGGUGGUGUGUGGAAAGGGUUUACUGGUCUUGGAUGGGCUCACGGCCUAUCAGCUUGUUGGUGAGGUAAUGGCUCACCAAGGCGACGACGGGUAGCCGGCCUGAGAGGGUGACCGGCCACACUGGGACUGAGACACGGCCCAGACUCCUACGGGAGGCAGCAGUGGGGAAUAUUGCACAAGGGGCGAAAGCCUGAUGCAGCGACGCCGCGUGAGGGAGGACGGCCUUCGGGUUGGAAACCUCUUUCAGCAGGGAAGAAGCCACAAGUGACGGUACCUGCAGAAGAAGCGCCGGCUAACUACGUG
rnacentral:rRNA from 1 species